CUUGAACGCCGGCGGCAGGCCUAACACAUGCAAGUCGAACGAGUGGCGGACGGGUGAGUAAUGUCUGGGAAACUGCCUGAUGGAGGGGGAUAACUACUGGAAACGGUAGCUAAUACCGCAUACAAUCAGAUGGGCCCAGAUGGGAUUAGCGAGUUGGUGGGGUAACGGCUCACCAAGGCGCCGAUCCCUAGCUGGUCUGAGAGGAUGACCAGCCACACUGGAACUGAGACACGGUCCAGACUCCUACGGGAGGCAGCAGUGGGGAAGAUUGCACAAGGGGCGCAAGCCUGAUGCAGCCAUGCCGCGUGUAUGAAGAAGGCCUUCGGGUUGUAAAGUACUUUCAGCGGGGAGGCGUUACCCGCAGAAGAAGCACCGGCUAACUCCGUGCCAGCAGCCGCGGUAAUUC
rnacentral:rRNA from 1 species